UGUAUGUGAUGCCUUUGCAAAGUGGCGGGGAAGUUCCAUCCAUGCAAAGAACUCCGAAUGGUUUGGUGCGUCGGCGCAAGAUGUUUGGCUUCAAAAUGGCCUUCUAGGUUUUAAGCAUCAUGAAUUCAUGGAAGAGUACCAGUGUCCUUUGCAGUCGCCAAGAACCCUGUUAUUUGAGCUGUAUAGAUUUGCAUGGAAGAGACACUUCAAUCGGGGCAAAGAUUUCAGCAGGAGAUUGAAAAUUUAGGGUUUUUAAUUUUUAAUUUUUAAUUUUACAUAAUUAAAUUAAAUGGGUAAAUGGAUAACCGUUAUAAUCGCAGGUAAUACCUAUAACCGUCCAUUUAAAUUUCAUGGAUAAACAGUUAUACUCAUAACCGUUAUAACCGUUUGUUCGUCUAAAAGAUUACUCAUAACCGUAACCAUGAACUUUAAAUAGACGGGUAACCAUGGUUAUCCAAACCCAUUGGUAUUUUACCCAUCCCUAUAGUGCUCGGGAAUUUUAUUUCACUAUUGGUUUUUGUAAAUAUUUAAGUUUUUAAAGUUAUAAAUAAGGAUUUAUGAAAGUUUAAUAAAAAGUUGAAAACCUAUUAGAUAUUUAGGAACAAAAUUGCAAGAUAGGAGG
rnacentral:lncRNA from 1 species